AGGGGCCGGCGGCUGAGGGAGGGGAGGCGGCGUGCUCCGGCCAUUUUCAGCUUGGGUGGAGUUAAGUUUAGAAUCUGUAACGUGGAGGGG
ensembl:misc_RNA